CCUCAGGACACUUCCUCUUACAUACGCUGUAUGCAGCAAUCUUGACUGGAGGCUCUAGCCUCUGGGCCAAGCAAAGCCAAGUACGCCACAGACAGACCGAUGCCCCUGCAGAAAUGGAAACUCGGGAGCAACGCUCAUGGCUUUCUCUGUAAGCUGUGAAGUUUCAUCAUUCUGCAGCAACAGGAAUGGGAACAUUUCCCAGAUGUGCAGCUAAUCAGACUGGAACGCAAGCACGCAGGGUCAGUUGACUGAUUCCACCUGAGUGAAUGCAAGAGCAGGUUUUGCCUCACUCUGUGUGGACGGCUCCGGGAGGACCCCCUGAAAGCUUGGUCCCCAGAUUGGAGGUAGUAGAAGGUGAUGAAGCCAUUGGGGCUGGACCCUUUGGGAGAUCCUAAAGUCAGGGGACUCUACCACUCUCUCUCCGUUUCUUAAGUUUCAUUGCGUAUAUUUAAUGCAUAUGGCACUGUGUUAGUAAGGGACAUUCUCCUGCAAGUGUAUACAGUGUAUACAGUGCACUGGGUGCUCUCCCUACCCGCUACCCUUCACCGUCUCCCCUCCCCCACCCCAUUCCUUAUUCCCUAGGUACACACACACACACACACACACACACACACACACUGUGCAUGUACGCACGCACGCACGCACAGGAUUUGUGUUUUUAUGUAAAAUCUAGGAGCCACAUAUGAGAGAAAGCUUUGUCUUUCUGAGCCUGGCUUCUUCCUGUCUUCUUAAUACCAUUACUUAAUAAUUCAUCAAUUUUCUUGAAAAUGACAAAACGUCAUUCUUCUUUAUAGUUGAAAAAUGUUCCACUGUAUACAUACAUCUUUUUUUUUCUUCCAGGCAUUGACACCUUGCUUUCCCAGCCACUCCCACCAUGAAGAGCCACCAUCACCUCCCAGUCUUCACAGAAGGAGACCUCCAAAACUGAUUGGAAGAAAGGAAGAGAAGGCCCAGCCAGAUGCCUGGAGCAUGCUGACACAUGACUUAGAGUGCAUGAAACCAUGGAAAGUCACACUACUUCCUCACAGCCCUGCCGGCCACUGCACUGAAACACUCCUGACUAAUUCAUUCCAUGCUGCCUUUCCCAUGGCUGAGUCACAGCGAUCCUCUGCUCCUUUGUUUCCUGAGUGACCUGAUGAGGGUUAUUACACAUUUAAAAAGCUGGAUAUAUACAAAACCCAGGCACAACUCAUGAGUUCAAGCCCUAAAUAAAUGCUUGGUCCGAAAAUCCCAAGACUCUCAGGGUUCUGGGCCCUAAGGGGGCAGCCACGUCUAUUCCAGUGGAAGAGCCUUUGGCACUGCAUGGCAUUCCAGACCCAAACUCCUGAGUUCAGCCCCACAGUCAGAGCUACUGCCAAUGAAACAAUGAGCAGAAUGCAGGAGGCAUCGGGGAAGCUUGGAAUCCAGAGAUACAGUAGUUAAGAUGCAAAUGGGCUAAGCCACAACACACAGUCAUGCUCAGAGGCUAGACAUGCCUUAUUAAAGACCAUUUGAAUAUCUUGUCUUAUGUUUUUAUUACCAAAAGGAAAGCGGCCUGCUUUAGCUUGUUUGGGCUUGAAGGAGGGGAGGGGCUUUAAAGUCACUGUGGUUUCCUUCUCAAACACUGCACACAUUUUCAGUUGUCACUUAUGGUUAGGCAACUCUAACUCUACCAAUCACUUCUCUAUUUGCCUUCCUUUGUGUCUGCUCCCCUCCGCCCCACUCCCAGGCUUCCAAGGAUGCUGGGCAAGCACUCUACCCUUGAGCCACAAGACUUGACUUUGAUUCUGUUUCUAGUCAUCAUCCUGAAAGGUGUCCCUAUAGGAAGGGACCCCAUUCAGAUACUGUGAAUUACGCAGCCACUUUGACCUAAAAAGCAUUACUUCAUAAGAGUCAC
ensembl:lincRNA